UAAAGACUUCAUUAACGAGGGUUUUUGC
rnacentral:sRNA from 1 species